UUUCUGGGUUUAAAGAACAUUGUGUUUAAGCUUAUAGGACCCCAAGAAUCUGUUUUGACGUGGAGAAUCGAAGCUUUAAAGCCCUGAACGAAAAUUGCCAUUGUUGGACUCCAUUUUUAAAGGUACACCGGCAACGAAGAAGACAACGAUGUUGGACCGUAUUAUUUGGUGAUUUAUGGUCGGCUUGAGGUUCUAAGCACUGUAGGAAGCUUUUCCAAUCAAAAUAAUGCGUGAAAAGCAAUUGUAUAAGAAGUUGGAGGCUCGCCGUCGCCGGAGAAGAAGGGCUCGCCGGCGUAACUCCGGCGAAGCUCCGAUCAACACCUUCUGAGGAUCUUGUUCUCAACAAAGAAACUCGGCAAGAGGUUCGAGGGAGAGAAAAGGAUAUACUUAGCAACUGAGGUAAGAAGAGUGGACAUCUGUGCACAGGGUGUAUGUUGAAACAUACAACUGUAUUAUGGGUUUGUAUUUGCAUGUUUUAUUCUAUGGUAGAUUGUUGUUUUAUGCUAAUGUUGUUAGUGUGUGAUAGUGAAAAGGCUUUUAACUGAUUGUGUGAGAAUAGCACUUAUAAGAUAGGUUUUCUGCUGCUGGUGUGAGCAUAGCACUGCAGGAUAUAUUUUUGGCUGCUUGUAUGGGUUUACUUGCAGGUUAUCCUAUCAUGGGUGAGUACAACUUGUGAUAAGGGAUUUCCCUAUUGGAUGCCGAGUGUGAGAACAGCACAAGGCAGGGCAAGUUACACUUCAUGUCUGAUCAACAUGAGUGGGAGUAGAUUAUCGUAUAUGAGGACAAUGUGCGAUAAGAUACUAUAUGUUAUGUGUGUGAGUAUCGCAUGCAUUAAGAUUACACUGUGAUAUGAUGUUGUAUUGUAUGUGAGAAUAAUGUGUGAUAUGACAUGUUGUUAUAUGUAUGCAAGUAUGGUAUGAAUUGAUUUGAUGUUGUGAUAUUGUUAUACUUAUGACUAUGUUAUCUAGUUGGGGGGUUAUGUCCUACAUAGCUCUUCUUACUGGGCGUUAGCUCACGGGUACUCUGUGUGCAGGUAAAGGCAAAACUAUACAGUGAGGGUGGCGAGCUCGAGGCAUGGAUUACAUGUUAGGGGAUUGUCACGAUGUUUUGGUUUAAAAAUAUUUCAUUUAAGAUUAUGAUUCAAAUAGUUUUUGUAAGGCUUUAUAUUUUAAAGUUAUGAAUAAAUAAAUGUUUUGUUUUAAAAAUAA